rnacentral:rRNA from 1 species
GGCCGUAACUAUAACGGUCCUAAGGUAGCGAAAUUCCUUGUCGGGUAAGUUCCGACCUGCACGAAUGGCGUAACGAUCUCCCCGCUGUCUCUAACGUGGACUCAGCGAAAUUGAACUGUGUGUCAAGAUGCACACUUCCCGCGGUUAGACGGAAAGACCCCAUGCACCUUUACUCUAGCUUUGCACUGGCAUCAGGAUUGUGAUGUGCAGGAUAGGUGGUAGGCAUUGAAGCGGGGACGCCAGUCUUCGUGGAGCCUCCCUUGAGAUACCACCCUUCGCACUCUUGAUGUCUAACCGCGGCCCGUUAUCCGGGUCCGGGACCCUGCAUGGUGGGGAGUUUGACUGGGGCGGUCGCCUCCUAAACAGUAACGGAGGCGCGCGAUGGUUGGCUCAGACCGGUCGGAAAUCGGUCGUUGAGUGCAAUGGCAGAAGCCAGCCUGACUGCAAGUCUGACAAGACGAGCAGAGACGAAAGUCGGUCAUAGUGAUCCGGUGGUCCCAAGUGGGAGGGCCAUCGCUCAACGGAUAAAAGGUACGCUGGGGAUAACAGGCUGAUGAUGCCCAAGAGUCCAUAUCGACGGCAUCGUUUGGCACCUCGAUGUCGGCUCAUCUCAUCCUGGGGCUGGAGCAGGUCCCAAGGGUAUGGCUGUUCGCCAUUUAAAGAGGUACGUGAGCUGGGUUUAGAACGUCGUGAGACAGUUCGGUCCCUAUCUGCCGUGGGUGUAGGAGACUUGAGAAGAGUUGCCCCUAGUACGAGAGGACCGGGGUGAACGAACCACUGGUGGACCAGUUAUCGUGCCAACGGUAGUGCUGGGUAGCUAUGUUCGGACAGGAUAAACGCUGAAGGCAUCUAAGCGUGAAGCCCCCUUCAAAACAAGGUCUCCCUUGAGAGCCGUGGAAGACCACCACGUCGAUAGGCCGGAGGUGUAAGUGCAGCAAUGCAUUCAGCUGACCGGUACUAAUUGCUCGAUAGGCUUGAUUUG